AGUGGCGCACGGGUGAGUAACACGUGAAUCAUCUACCUCCGAGUGGGGAAUAACCUAGAGAAAUCUGGGCUAAUACCGCAUAACACUUACGAGUCAAAGCAGCAAUGCGCUUGGAGAGGAGUUCGCGGCAGAUUAGUUAGUUGGCGGGGUAAUGGCCCACCAAGACGAUGAUCUGUAUCCGGCCUGAGAGGGCGCACGGACACACUGGAACUGAAACACGGUCCAGACUCCUACGGGAGGCAGCAGUGGGGAAUUUUGCGCAAUGGGGGAAACCCUGACGCAGCAACGCCGCGUGGAAAAUGAAAUCCCUUGGGAUGUAAACUCCUUUCGAUUGGGAAGAUUAUGACGGUACCAAUAGAAGAAGCCCCGGCUAACUUCGUGCCAGCAGCCGCGGCAAUACGAGGGGGGCAAGCGUUGCUCGGAAUUAUUGGGCGUAAAGGGCGCGUAGGCGGUUUGACAAGUCUGAUGUGAAAUCUCUGGGCUCAACCCAGAGUCUGCAUUAGAAACUGUCGGGCUUGAGUAUGGGAGAGGUGAGUGGAAUUUCCGGUGUAGCGGUGAAAUGCGUAGAUAUCGGAAGGAACACCCGUGGCGAAAGCGGCGAGCUGGAUCACUACUGACGCUGAGGAACGAAAGCUAGGGGAGCAAACAGGAUUAGAUACCCUGGUAGUCCUAGCCCUAAACGAUCAGGACUUGGGGUGCCACCCGUUCGGGUGUCGUCCCGGAGCUAACGCGUUAAGUCCUGCACCUGGGGAGUACGGUCGCAAGACUGAAACUCAAAGGAAUUGACGGGGGCCCGCACAAGCGGUGGAACAUGUGGUUCAAUUCGA
rnacentral:rRNA from 1 species